CAGCACCCUGAGAUCAUGACCUGAGCUGAAGGCAGAUGCUUUACUGACUGAACCACCCAGUUUCAGAGAUAGAGUUCAGUGAUUCAUCAGAUGAAUAUACUACCUAGUGCUCAUUACAUCAUGUGCGCUCCUCGAUGCUCAUCACCUGAAAAGAAAUCAAGUGACCUGCCCAAGGGCACACACCUACAAGUGGUGGAACCUAGACUUGAUUCCCAAGCUUCACAUCCUUACUGACUUGCUCCCCUUCUUACUAUGCCUUCCAGGGGAUGUCUUGGGGCUGCUGCCAUCGACUUAACAGGAAUGAAUGGCCUCAAGGGAACACUUAAGCAAAAGUUUACUACAGAGACACCAGAGAGGCAAAGUAAGAAUUCAGAAGGAAAGUGAUUUAGAAGAACAACAGGUGAAACAGGCAGCUGAUGUGGUGGAAAAGACAGCUCUGAGAAGACCCAGACCAGCCUGAUCACAGGGAGAAGCAAUGAUCCCUGAUUUAGCAAGUUGUCCAAGCCCAAAACUCAUGUCUCCUUAACCAAUGAAAACUAUUACUUGGCAUUAAACUGUGAAGUAAACAAACAAAUAGAAAGAAAAGCAAUUUGAUCUUCUAUAAGAAAUGUAUCUGUCUAUCCAGUGAAAGAGAAGAGAAACAAUAGCAUAAAAUAAUAGAAUAAAAAUUGCAUUUCAUGACAAGGCUCACCUUGCACAGUGCCCAAGCUGCUGGAGCCAGGUGGCCUGGAUUCAAGCGACAUUUUAUCAGUAGGCUCCACGCUCAGCAUGGAACCCAAAGUGGAGCUUGAAAUUAAGACCCUGGGAUCAAGACCCGAGCUGAGAUCAAGAAUUCAAUGUGCUUAACCUACUGAACCACCGAGGCACCCCUAGGAAUCCUUUCUGUAAAUGAAUACAGUUCCCAUAAAGUGGCUAUAAUGCCAACCCUUAAAAACUGAAUGUUUGGUUAUUGCACAGAUAUUAGAAUCACAGAUACAUAUAUAUGCAAAUUUUAUUUAUAGAGGAGAGAUGUACAUAUGCAUG